rnacentral:rRNA from 1 species
UACGGAGGGUGCAAACGUUGCUCGGAAUCAUUGGGCGUAAAGCGCACGUAGGCGGCCUGUUAAGUCGGAUGUGAAAGCCCCGGGCUCAACCCGGGAAGUGCAUUCGAAACUGGCGGGCUUGAAUAUGGAAGAGGGUCGCGGAAUUCCCGGUGUAGAGGUGAGAUUCGUAGAUAUCGGGAGGAACACCAGUGGCGAAGGCGGCGACCUGGGCCAAUAUUGACGCUGAGGUGCGAAAGCGUGGGGAGCAAACAGG